rnacentral:rRNA from 1 species
UAACUUUCAACAACGGAUCUCUUGGCUCUUGCAUCGAUGAAGAACGCAACGAAAUGCGAUAAGUAACGUGAAUUGCAGAACUCCGUGAAUCAUUAAAUCUUUGAACGCAAAUUGCACUUCUUGGUAUUCCGAGGAGUAUGCUUGCUUGAGGGUUGGUC